GACGAACGCUGGCGGCGUGCUUAACACAUGCAAGUCGAGCGGUAAGGCCCUUUCGGGGGUACGCGAGCGGCGAACGGGUGAGUAACACGUGGGUGACCUGCCCUCAGCUCUGGGAUAAGCCUGGGAAACCGGGUCUAAUACUGGAUAUGACUCCAUGACGCAUGUUGUGGGGUGGAAAGCCUUGUGCGGCUGAGGAUGGGCCCGCGGCCUAUCAGCUUGUUGGUGGGGUGANGGCCUACCAAGGCGACGACGGGUAGCCGGCCUGAGAGGGCGACCGGCCACACUGGGACUGAGACACGGCCCAGACUCCUACGGGAGGCAGCAGUGGGGAAUCUUGCGCAAUGGGCGAAAGCCUGACGCAGCGACGCCGCGUGAGGGAUGAAGGCCU
rnacentral:rRNA from 1 species